GAGUAGUAUCAGUUAAGAUCUUGAAACUCAAAAAAUUUGGCGGUAUUUUAUCUUGUUAGAGGAACCUGUUUAUUAAUUGAUAUCCCACAACUUAAAUUUACUUUUUUAAAGUUAUUUGUAUACCGUUGUCAUGAAUCUACUAGAAAGUAAUUUUCAAGAUUUUUUAUAUAAUUUAUGUUAGAUCAAGGUGCAGUUUAUGAAAGUAGAAAAUGGGUUACAUUAGUGAAGAUGAAUGAAAAUUAUUGUUAGAAAAUAGUGGAAAAAGGAUUUAAAAGUAAGGAGAAAUUUGUAAAGAUUUUUUAUGAAUAAAGAUUCUAAAAUAUG
rnacentral:rRNA from 1 species